AGUCGCAACGGACGGAGCAGUUAGAGAAAAAAACAGAGGGCCUCUUUACUCCGUCCGGCCAUCCGCGCGGGAUCAACGCCAAGUAGCCCCCCGCCCCAAGUCCGCUACCUCCUCCUCAUCGGCUUCGUCUCCCGUGCCGAGCGGCCGCGGCCCGGGUUGUUGCCCCCUCCGCUGCGGCCAUGGCGGCAGUUGCAGAGGCGGCGGCAGAUCUUGGGCCUCGGUUGGGGAUAUCGCCGGCGACCCCCGACAUUGUUCGCAAGCCGGCUCAGCAGUCCCGGACGACAUGCGCGGAUGGCUCGUGCUGCACUGCUCUGUUCACCAGCGCAGCUCCGGCGCCAGCUGCUGGCCCUGGAAAGGCGGAGAGCGACGGCUUGGCCUCGGUGCCGUCGCCCUUACAAGAGCAGUCUCAGUCCGCAGCGGAGGAUCUGGGCGAAGUGGACUGUGCUAUGGUGAGCACGCAGGAGUCCAGCACCUUGCAUCCACUGGUGGGCGAGUCCUCUGGCAAAGUCGCACAGCAAGAGCAGCAGCAGGAAGAAGGUGUUGCCAGUGGCAGUGAUGCUGGUGGUGCGGCUCCUGUCCCUACUCCGGAGAAAAUGGAGCCUACACCUAGGAGGUGGUGGAAGAAGUCGAAGAAGGGGGUUCUCCGGUUCAAGGUGGUGAAAGAUAAAGUGAUGAAGCCGAAGAUGACCCCGAAGACCACCACACCCCGGAAAGUGAAGAAGGAUAAGAAGAAGCGAACGCCAGAGGAUGGUAGCCAACAUGAUGUUUCUGGUAGCUCUAAUAGUGCGAGACGCAAGCUGGAUAUGGAUUCAGAUUCAUCCCAAAGUAAAACUUGUUUCAGCAGAGCCAAAUUGAUAGAUAAUUUGGAGUGCCUUGCCAAAAGUCAUGGUUUAAGGGUUCAACCGACUCGGCGCACGAGGAGCAAGAGAGGCAGGAAGCGGCAGCUGAUGGUGCCUUACCAGGGGACUCCAACUGGUGCAUCAUACUCUGCACUCGUUCCACUUUGGGGCUCAUCCCAACUUGAUAUCACAUGCCACGGAAAUCAUGGGAAGAACUUAUGGAAUAAGGUGUUGGGCCUUACUGAGGAGACACUGCGGGUGUGUGAUAUUCUGGCAAAGUGGGAUGGGAGUGAUAGUGAGAGUUUUGAAGGGUUUGAUAUUGGCAGCGGACCUGAAUGGGAUCAAACACGACACAUGUUCGAAAAAUUAGUGGAUAUAUUCAUUGCUGCAAUGCUUGAUCUAAUGGGGCCCAGAAAAUUCUCUCCAUGGGGAGGAUCCGUAAUUGAUUCUGUGGUUGGUACAUUCCUUACACAAAAUGUUGCUGAUAACUUAUCAAGCCAUGCUUUUAUGAACCUAGCAGCAAAGUUUCCUCCAAGGAAGAGAUGCCAUAAAGCUGAAGAUUGUCCAAAUACAGCUCCGUUAGUAGAUGAUGCUGAUGAAAACUUCAACCAAAAUGAAGCAUCUGAUACUUUUGAUUCAGGGGACUCAGAUUGUGAUGAAUACAUUGAUUCUGAAGAAGAAGAUGGCCAUGAUACAGAGAUUAAAGGGCAUUAUGGUGAAGAAUACAAUAGACUUAUAGAGAGUUUCAUUACUAAUCUCAAAGAGAAAGGCAUUUCUACUUGGGACAGUGACCUUAUGAAAUUAGUGAAGGAUAAAUCUGGAAAUCCAAUAUGCACUGAAAGAACCUUAAGAAAGUUUAUAGCUUCACUGCGACCAGUCCCAUCAUCUAUCUGGAAAGAGUUACGGGAGGAAGCAUUUGGAAAAGGAUACAGUGACAGAAGUCGAGCUGGACCAAGUGAUGCUGUAGAUUGGGAAUCCGUACUACACGCACCGAUUGCUGAGGUCGCGAAAUGCAUUGAAGUUAGGGGACAGCAUUACAUUUUGGCAUUGCGGAUACAGGUUUUCCUGAUGCAUGUAAAGAAUGCUCAGGAUGGAAGCUUUGACCUGGAUUGGCUAAGACAUAUAUCACGUGAAAAAGCCAAAAAUUUUCUGCUUAGUAUAUAUGGGAUUGGAGAGAAAAGUGCUGACUGCAUUCGUCUUUUGUCUCUGAGGCAUAAAGCAUUCCCAGUUGAUGUCAAUGUAGCUCGCAUAGUCACAAGGCUAGGGUGGGUCAAACUUCAACCAUUAAAUGGUGCUGAGUUCCAUUUAAUUAACUCCUACCCAAUCAUGCGCGAUGUUCAAAGAUAUUUAUGGCCUCGGUUGUGCACCAUUGAUAAGGAAAAACUUCAUAUGAUAACUUUUGGAAAGGUAAUGUGCACAAAAAUAAAUCCGAACUGCAGUGCCUGCCUUUCAGUGCAAAUUGCAAAUAUUAUAGUAGCUCACUUGCUAGAAAGUCGCUUCUUCCUCCAGAGAAGCAUGAACAUGAACAUGAACACAGAGAACAGCAAGCAAGCAUGGUUUCUUCUGGGAGAUUUCUUUUAUCAAAUGAUAAUUGCAUGCCAAGUUCUCACUAUAUGUAUCAACAUCAAAUUGAAAUAAGCAGGACUGCUGAAACACCACCUAUUCAUAACUGUGAGCCAAUUGUUGAGAUGCCACAAAGCCCAGAAUAUGAGUACGAAGAAGCACCUAAUGUGCAAGAAGAUUCCUACGAAGAUUAUCCAGAUAUUGAAGAUAUUGUACCAGGAGGACUACAGUAUGACGGUGAGAUAGAUCUUCGUUCAAGCAAGCAUGUGCUAAACAACAGAUCUUGGACACCAAACUGCGGAAAGGACUUGGUCAUGAUUAAUCCAAAUUCCAGCUUCAGACCAAAUAAAAAACUGAAAAAUAUUGGCCGUCUUAGUACGGAACACAACGCAUAUGUCCUCCCAGAUGACCAUUUAAUCUUGGAAGAGUUCGAAGAGAGAGUUCCAGAAGAUAUAUGUCCUUACCUCCUGGUCGUUAUUUCGUUUCCUGAUGACUACACAGUGACAGGCACUGUUCUGAUACCCUGCCGGACAGCAAAUCGUGGGAAGUUUCCACUGAAUGGUACCUACUUCCAACCACAUGAGGUUUUUGCAGAUCACUCAUCUAGUCGUCACCCAAUAACUAUACCUAGGGAAUGCAUCGGGAUGCUGGAUAGAAGCAUAGUAUACUUUGGUUCAUCUAUACACUCGAUCACAAGAGGUCAAACAAGACAUGGUAUCGAAGAGUGCUUCAAGAAAGGAUAUGUCUGUGUACGAGGAUUUCAUCGAACAACAAGAAGACCAAUGCGCCUAUGUGGCACAUUGCAUGCUGCCAACACUGCAAAGAAAGAAGCUUUGAAGAAAGAAGUUGUGAAGAAAGAAGGCGAGGAGAAGCUUGCAAAGCGGGUCAGGACUCAGGACGUCACCGGAGGGGAAGAGUAAGGAGAAAUAGAUAGGCACCUUCGGUGAGCUAGGACCUGAUAGUCGCUUGACAUAGCUGCGCACAAAUUGUAGCUGAUGAGAAUAAUGCUUAACUAGUUCUGUAACCCUGUGUUAGGAGGACAGUACGUAUUUUAGUUGUCAGUCCUUGCUAGUUAUGAUUCCUUGGGUGGGAGCAAAUAAAUGGUGGAGGUCUCUUUACGGCUACUCUAUUUCUGCCUCUUUAUGCCCUGUACAGCUGAGACUCUGUUUACCUUCAUGUUGCUGUUGGAUUAUUCGCCUUUGAAAUAAGUACCGAGUCUGAAAUA